GACGAACCACACGAACGUUAUUCGGAAUCACUGGGCUUAAAGGGUGCGUAGGCUGCGCAGUAAGUUGGGUGUGAAAUCCCUCGGCUCAACCGAGGAACUGCGCCCAAAACUACUGUGCUUGAGGGAGAUAGAGGUGAGCGGAACUUAGGGUGGAGCGGUGAAAUGCGUUGAUAUCCUAAGGAACACCCGUGGCGAAAGCGGCUCACUGGAUCUCUUCUGACGCUGAGGCACGAAAGCUAGGGUAGCGAACGGG
rnacentral:rRNA from 1 species